GCGCCUCUAGCUCAAUUGGUUAGAGCAUCGGACUCUUAAUCCGCAGGUUCUGGGUUCGAUUCCCAGGGGGCGCACCA
rnacentral:tRNA from 1 species